rnacentral:rRNA from 1 species
CAGCAGCCACGGGAAUACGUAGGGUGCGAGCGUUAAUCGGAAUUACUGGGCGUAAAGCGUGCGCAGGCGGUUCGGCAAGUCUCGUGUGAAAUCUUCGGGCUCAACCCGAAGUCUGCACGGGAAACUACUGGGCUUGAGUAAUGGAGAGGUGAGUGGAAUUUCCGGUGUAGCGGUGAAAUGCGUAGAUAUCGGAAGGAACACCUGUGGCGAAAGCGGCUCACUGGACAUUUACUGACGCUGAUGCACGAGAGCUAGGGGAGCAAACAGGAUUAGAUACCCGCGUAGUCCCUGUCUCUUAUAU